rnacentral:rRNA from 1 species
UACUCCGCUGACGACCGGCGCACGGGUGAGUAACGCGUAUGUAACCUACCUUGUACAGGGGGAUAGCCCGGAGAAAUUCGGAUUAAUACCCCAUAAUGAUAUACCGGGGCAUCUUAGUAUAUUUAAAGCUGCGGCGGUACAGGAUGGGCAUGCGUAACAUUAGCUAGUUGGUAGGGUAACGGCCUACCAAGGCUGCGAUGUUUAGGGGUCCUGAGAGGGUGAUCCCCCACACUGGUACUGAGACACGGACCAGACUCCUACGGGAGGCAGCAGUGAGGAAUAUUGGUCAAUGGGCGCAAGCCUGAACCAGCCAUCCCGCGUGAAGGAAGAAGGCGCUAUGCGUUGUAAACUUCUUUUCCAUGGGAAGAAAAUUCGGUACGUGUACCGGAUUGACGGUACCGUGGGAAUAAGCAUCGGCUAACUCCGUGCCAGCAGCCGCGGUAAUACGGAGGAUGCGAGCGUUAUCCGGAUUUAUUGGGUUUAAAGGGUGCGUAGGCGGAUUAAUAAGUCAGUGGUGAAAACCUGCAGCUUAACUGUAGAAUUGCCAUUGAUACUGUUAGUCUUGAGUACGG